AAUCAACGCUGGCGGCGUGCCUCAGACAUGCAAGUCGAACGCGAAAUUUCCCUUCGGGGAGAAAGUAGAGUGGCGCACGGGUGAGUAACACGUAGGUAAUUUGCCUUUGGGUGGGGAAUAACAGUCGGAAACGGCUGCUAAUACCGCAUAAUGCAGCGGCUCGACAUCGAGACAGUUGUUAAAGCGGGGGAUCGCAAGACCUCGCGCCUGAAGAGAAGCCUGCGGCAGAUUAGCUAGUUGGUAGGGUAAUGGCCUACCAAGGCAACGAUCUGUAACCGGCCUGAGAGGGCGGUCGGUCACACUGACACUGACAUACGGGUCAGACUCCUACGGGAGCAGCAGUCGGGAAUUUUGGGCAAUGGGACGAAAGCCUGACCCAGCAACGCCGCGUGAAGGAUAGAAAUAUUUCGGUAUGUAAACUUCGAAAGAAUAGGAAGAAUUAAUGACGGU
rnacentral:rRNA from 1 species